GCGUGGAGACAGGUGGUGCAUGGCUGUCGUCAGCUCGUGUCGUGAGAUGUUGGGUUAAGUCCCGCAACGAGCGCAACCCUCACCUCUUGUUGCCAUCAGGUCAUGCUGGGCACUCUAGAGGAACUGCCCCGGUCAACGGGGAGGAAGGCGGGGAUGACGUCAAGUCAUCAUGCCCCUUACGUCCUGGGCUACACACGUGCUACAAUGGCCGGUACAAUGGGAUGCGACGCCGCGAGGUAGAGCUAAACCCAAAAAGCCGGUCUAAGUUCAGAUUGGAGUCUGCAACUCGACUCCAUGAAGGAGGAAUCGCUAGUAAUCGCGUAUCAGCACGACGCGGUGAGUACGUUCCCGGGCCUUGUACACACCGCCCGUCACACCACGAAAGCCAGCUGUACUCGAAGUCGCUGAG
rnacentral:rRNA from 1 species